rnacentral:lncRNA from 1 species
AGUAGCGGAAUGUGGAAAAUAAAAAGGCCCGUCCGCCAGACCAAACAGCGGAUGCAAAAAAAAAAAAUUCAAUCCCAAAAUUACCCACAAGCCAAGCGGAUGUAUUACAGAAGCCAACAGUUGCCAACAGUUUUGGGUUAAUAAGCCAGACAACAAUUUUGGGUGUAUAACUUUAGAAAUCGCACCAUCCGCUAGCAGACUUCUUCUCCCACACGCGAAUCCCAAAUAGCUCUGUAAUCCCAAAUAGUAUUUUUUAUCAUCCGAAAUAGCAAAUAACUUCAAAAAUCGCAGCAGAUCUGUAAUCCUAAAUAGCGAAUCGACAAACCCUCAUGCUGCGAUAGUACGAUUCGUAUGUGAAACCUCCUGCUAGUUCGAUUCCCUAAACCAACUGUGAUUUUGUCCUCAGUCAAAAACUCUCAUGCUGCGAUAGUUGAACGAUUUUGUGCAAUUUCGAUCGAUUCCUCUGAGCCCUUGGUCAAAACUUGUUGCGAUUUCAAGUGAUUCCUCUGUCAAAUCGUCAAAACCCGAAGUGUGAUUGAUAAGGUAUUUUUGCUUUUGAAGAUGCAAGUGCAUUGACACUUUGGUGGUUUGUAUUUUAUGUUAAAGGGGAAGUAUUAGACAAAAUGUUAGGCAACUGAGAUGAUAAAAUAACUAGUAUUUAAAUGCAUACAUUAUGAUGAAUGUGUGAAAAAUUAACAGAGAAUGUGAAAUUUUUUGCAUUUGAUAUAAUAUGUGAUUAGUAAAUUUUUGCAUUUGAUAUACUGAAAGAAAAAUUUGUGGUCUAAAUAAGUACCUGAUUUUGUAUGGCUGGCUGUUUCAUUUAUUACAUGAUAGCAGUUGGAAUUAGCUAUAAUGAAAAUUUUGUAGAACUACAAACCUGCAAUGUAUGUUUGACUAGAGACUUCAGUCUCUUUUGAGGGCUUGUACAAUUCCUAUAAUGAGAGUUUUUCUUGGACCGAUUUAUCAGAUUCUGAUAUUAUUAAUGAGAUUUGCUAUUAGUGUGUAUAUGGUGAAACAUUUCCUAUUAUUAAUGAGAUUUGCUAUCAAUGAGAUUUGUCAAAUGUCUGCAAAAUUAACUGAAUGAAACUUGACUGAACAACAAGAAUAUCUGCUGGAACAAUUAGGUUUUGAUAAAUUUUGUCAUCAAGCUAUAGUGUCAAAGAUUGAUGCAUCUCUUGUAUCUGCUCUAGUUGAAUGUUGGAGAAGUGAAACAAAUAUGUUUUACUUAAAUUGUGGAGAGAUUAACAUUUCUUUAGAGAAUGUGGGAUUUUUAUUUGGGUUGUCCGUAUUAGGAAAACCUUUGACUUGCGGAGAAUUAGAAAAUUUCAAAAGCUAUUUUAUAAGGGUUUUUGGGCAACAAGUUGUAGUAGAUGAGUGGGAACAAUGCUAUAAAAGGGGGGGCAUAAGUUUGCCCUGGUUAAGACAGAGAUAUGGUCAAGUACCUGGUGAUGUUACUCCAGAUGAUGUCGUAAAACACACUAAGGCAUAUCUGUUGUACUUGUGUGGCGCUAUUUUGUUUCCAACCAAGAGUAAAAAUGUUGUGCAUCCUACAUAUUUGUUGUUAUUGGAAAGAUUGGAAGACGUAGUUACAUAUGCUUGGGGGGCGGCAGUUUUAGGGCAUUUGUAUAAGGUUUUGCAUGAGGCUACUCGCAAAACAACGAAAAAAUUCGCAGGUUGUGCAACCCUUCUUAUGAUGUGGGCUCAUGAACGGUUCAACAUUGGUCGUCCUACCCCUAAGCCUAUGUCCCAUAAGUUGAUACCAAGGGCAUUAUCCUGGGCAUACUCCUCUUUUGAUCCUAAUUCAAAAUAAUAUCAGCGCCUUAAAAAUCCACAUCACCAUCUUCUGUUUUACCGAGGAGAGUUUGAUAAUAUGUUGGAAACAGAUGGGGUGUGGCGUCCAUAUCAGUUAUUUGAUAGACGUUUGUCUUGGGAUUUUUUUGAGACAAGGUUAGGUGGAGCCGCUCGUAUACCGUUGAUACAUUACGACAUUGUUGAGUUCCAAAUGCCUGACAGAUUUAUGAGGCAAUUUAGAUAUUUGCAGUUGUAUCCAUCUAAUGCUGAAAAUAUGGUGGAAUUGCAAAAGGAACAUAAAUUAUUUGAGAGAAUAAAUUUUGAAAACCAUAGGACCAACUAUAUUCGAUUAUGGGAUGCAUACAUGGAGAGUUUAGAAGGAUAAGUGUUGGAGGCUUUGCAGCAUAUAUCUACUGAGGAUUAUAUGACAUGGUAUAGAGAAAUUACUCGAUGACGGAUACACCAUACUUGACCCUUUAGGUGUCAAGGGGAAGAUUAUGAUCCACGGGUAUUCAUUGACCAAUAUGUGGCUGUAAACACUGUAAGUAGUUCAAUUUAUAAUAUUUAUUAAUUUUUUUUAACUGAUUAUCUUGUUUUAUUAAUAUAAUUUUUUUAUUUAAUUGUAGAUUGAGAGUGCAAAAGCUAUAUUUGAAAAGUUGUUAUCAAUUGGACAUCCACCUGAGUUAAGAACCAUGUAUGACACAUGGUUCAAUACAUUAUAUCAGCCGUUCAUGAAUGACUAUAGAGGGGUUCCAAUCAAUCCAAAUCCAACGCAACCUCAAGUUGGGCAGAUGGAGAUUGACAUAACAGGAUCCCAACCUACAGUUCAAGUGACUCAGCCUAGCGUUGACCCUUCUACUUGACAUAGUAAGAAAGUGCCAGCUAGAAGGAUGGAGGGAACAAAGCACACUCAUUUUUUCAAGUACUUAAAGAUGAAAAAAAUCAAUUGGCUAAAUCAUCAUUGGUUUAGUCCAACUCACGACCCAUCAGACUUUCCUUAUAGUCAUCCAGAAGGUCUAUACAAGUUUGAAUUUAAAGAUGUUAACUGUUUGAGACCCAAUGGUUGGUUAUGGGAACAUGUCUUGGAUGCUUAUUUGUUGUUGUUGCGAGACAAAAAAGCUAAAAUGUGUAAAGAAGGUAUCCAAAGAUGAGCUCGAUUUUAUUUCAUGCCAACGUACUUUGCGUUGUUAGGUACCCAAAACUUACCAAGUUUCGGAGUAGACAUGCCAACCAUACAAAAAUUUCUAAGAAGUUACAUCAAUCCUACAGUUGGUGCCCCAGUACAUGAGUGUGAUUACAUAUUCGUUCCAGUCUUCAACAAAACCAACAGUCAUUUUUGCUUGUUUAUUUGGAGUGUCAACAAGUGGAAAGUAAUGCUACUUGACCCACUUUAUGAUGACAAAUCAUUAAUGCCAUUGUCACAAUUAUACCAAAACUUCUUUACGGUUGUGGUGAGUUCAUUAAUAUAUUUCUUGUUUUUCAUGUCAUUACACAGACAUGUAAUUCCUUCUACUUCGGACUUAUAAGUAAUGGGUUUCUAGUUUAUAGGUGGAGUUAAUUCCUUUGCUGCUUCGUCAGGCAAAUCCUACAGCAAAGUGGUCAAAAUCAAAGUCGAAAGUUGAAGUCUGUGUGAAUAGACCAAGACAAUGGAACGCAGACGAUUGUGGCAUAUAUGUUGCAAAGUACGUGAAUUUCUUUUUGCACCGUAUAAACAUCAUGGACGAUUGUGGCAUUCUUUUUAAGAAACGAUUUCUGUUGAAACUCGUGUAUAUAACAUAUUUUUCUUGGCACAUUGUAAACGGUUUUCUUAUAAUUAAUUUUGAUUACCA